UCGUCAGCGCCAGAUCGACGACACUGGGGUAAAUGAGUUUUAUGAAGGCAAAAGAGGUUAUUAAUCUAAGUAAACAUGUUCUUACCACCCACAAAAAAAAAUCAAAAUCUGUUGUGAAAGUAUUUCCGUUGCAUUAAAACAAUCAAUGUUUGAGAUAUAAAUUCUAGAGUGUAACUAAAAAAAACAGUCUAUUCAUUUUUCUGCUGUAUUUACACUUACACCCCCACGGCUUUGAACGCGCGACUAUCAAUUCCAACGACCAAAUCAGACAGUACAGAUUAGGUGGACACGAGUGGCCUCUUAAGUUGUGAUGUACGACGAGGAAAGCCCAAUCGAAUCCCAUCGUUUGCGUUAGUCGUGCUGGCUAUGCGCGUUUGUAACAAGACAGUUUUCUCGUUGUAGGAAAAAUAAAGUCAUGUCUUUAGAGCAGAUGAACGAUAACCUCCGUGUUUUGCGAUAAAGGCGUUAAUUUAAUCUAUAAAUAAUAAUUGAUGCUACGCGACAGUAUUUUGUCGGAACAAUACAAAAAAAUCUGGUUUGAUCGUUUCGAUUCUGUUUCAACACAUUCAUUUUGGGACACAGCUACUAAGUCGGCUUGUUUUUUGCUUAAACAAUACAGGCCUUAGUGCUACUACAUUCUACUGCACGUACGCAGUAUUAAAUUGUGAGAUAUCACUCAAUUUUGCUACACGCCUAAACCAUGAACGAAGAUGUCAUCGUGAGGCGAGCUAUCGAGUCAAACAUUAGGGAUUUGGAUUUCGUGAUACUGCUGUGCUUUAUUCUAACCAUAAUACUCAUCGCCGUGAUUCUCAGAUUGAUCCUGCAAUUGAUUAGAGUUCGCAUGAUGACUGAGCAGCAGAACCUCAGUGACUUUACCGAUUCGGAAGAGUCCUGGUGGAGUCCGGCAUUAGCUAAUGGCAGGUGACGAUCAGGCAAUCGUUUUAGUAAAUUCUCAUAAAUCGGAUCUUGCUUGAUAUUUCGAAUACGUUUUUCAACUGUGAAUACAACCGAUAUAUUUCAGGUUUGAUUAUUUAGUUAUUUGAGUUAUUAAAAGUUCGGUAAGAUGCUAAGUAAGCCAAGCAAAAAUAGUACUAAACUGAAAAAUCUUCAUUUUUCUAUUUGGUCUAGUUUAGUAUGAUGGAGAUUUAUGAAUAAAAAUAAAGAUUUCAGAAACUAAA